rnacentral:rRNA from 1 species
UACGUAGGGGGCGAGCGUUGUCCGGAUUUAUUGGGCGUAAAGAGCGUGUAGGCGGCCAGGUAGGUCUGCUGUGAAAAACUCGAGGCUCAACCUCGAGACGUCGGCGGAAACCAUCUGGCUAGAGUCCGGAAGAGGAGAGUGGUAUUCCUGGUGUAGCGGUGAAAUGCGCAGAUAUCAGGAAGAACACCCCGUGGCGAAGGCGGCUCUCUGGGGACGGGUAC